UGCGUAGGCGGCUUUUUAAGUCGGAUGUGAAAUCCCUGAGCUUAACUUAGGAAUUGCAUUCGAUACUGGGAAGCUAGAGUAUGGGAGAGGAUGGUAGAAUUCCAGGUGUAGCGGUGAAAUGCGUAGAGAUCUGGAGGGAUACCGAUGGCGAAGGCAGCCAUCUGGCCUAAUACUGACGCUGAGGUACGAAAGCGUGGGGAGCAAACA
rnacentral:rRNA from 1 species